GAUGAUAUCUCAAAUAAACGGCGGAAAUUGACGUUCAUUGACUUAUUAGGAAUGUGUCAAAUUUGAAAAAUUAUCUUUACUGUUAGUACAUUCGUUCUGUUCACUAUUUGGAGUACUUGGUGGAAUAAAACGAAAUUGCUCUUAAUUUGGGUGUUCCAGAAGUAAUGAUCUGAGUAUGAAAUACCUAAGAAAAUCAAAAAAAUCCAAAUUACAGGAUAAAAUUAUAUGUGUUGUUACUUCAAAGUGUGUAGUCUUGUAGUCUAACUGGCUGAAGAUGCAAAGCUUCGAAUAUAUCUGUUCCUGUAAGAAACGUCUUGUCAACAUCUGGUUUAGCAUGGUGGUCAGUGGCGUAACUAUACCGUUCGAGGUCCGUGGCAAAUUCAUUGGAUGGGCCCCCUCCCCCCAAUAUAAAGAAGCUGAACCAAAAAUAACAAUAUUUUUUUUAUUUUAUAAUACUCAUUUAUACACUUUUACUUGUAAUUGUAUAAUAAUAAAUCACUACAGUAAGUAGGUACAUACAAA